CACUCUUAUCAUCUACGCAUAGAAAGUCUUCAGGGUAGACCCCACCUUGUGCCUUCAAAUCCACCACAUCGUUGCCUCUAUCAAUCCGUUGCAUGCUGAUUCUGCAGCCGAACGAGGAGCAUUUGAAGCACCCCUGCAAUUGCCGUACAGACCAUUCAACAUCAUGGUUGGAAGGCAGUAGCUCUUGCAAAUGCAUUGACACCUACAACUCCAUAACCCAAGUCCCUUGAACGCGUGCUUAAACUGUUCUACUUGACAUGAGGUUAUAAUUUUGCAUAUUUUACGAACAAUUACUUGCAUUGCCGUAUUAUCAAUUUCUUGGCUAUACAUGGAUGAUCUGGAAAACACGAGUCAUGAUCAUGAAAUUUGGAGCGAUGGCAUGGAGGAGGUAUUCAUUGACAUGCUUUACUAGGACGUCAUUCACUGUAGAUUAAGGACUGGCAAUAUCAUGAGUAGAGAGCAUACUACUUAUGCUAAGCGGCUCACCGCUGUUUGUGUGAGGGUGUUUGACGCGAGCAAGAUUCGGGACAAAAUCCAGAGGUUGAAGGCCCAACAACGUCUGUUUUCCAAUCUAAUGAGCCAAACUGGGAUGAGUUAGGAUCUCGACACAAAGACGAUAGUGGGGAGCGAUGAGGCCUAGGAAAAUGCCAUCAGGGUCAAAAAUAAAUGGGGGAGGUUUUGGACAUUUGGCCUACCAAAGUAUGAGGAGUUGUGCACCAUAUUCGGUGUUUCAGUUACAUACAGGACCUUGCAACACACCUGCCCUCAGAUAGUGAUGAGGA